AUGAAGAACGUAGCGAAAUGCGAUAAGUAAUGUGAAUUGCAGAAUUCAGUGAAUCAUCGAAUCUUUGAACGCACAUUGCGCCCGCCAGUAUUCUGGCGGGCAUGCCUGUUCGAGCGUCAUUUCAACCAUCAAGCCCCCGGGCUUGUGUUGGGGACCUGCGGCUGCCGCAGGCCCUGAAAAGCAGUGGCGGGCUCGCUGUCACACCGAGCGUAGUAGAUUUUAUCUCGCUCUGGGCGUGCUGCGGGUUCCGGCCGUUAAACCACCCUUUUAACCCAAGGUUGACCUCGGAUCAGGUAGGAAGACCCGCUGAACUUAAGCAUAUCAAUAAGCGGAGGA
rnacentral:misc_RNA from 1 species